UUGAUUUGGCAUCCUCUGUCUCCCUCCUGCUGGAAGAUGGCCAUAGGCUUUGCUCUGGUGUUGAGCUGUUCAGAACUGGCCCCCGGACUCCCUAUGUCUGGGAAUUGCCCUGGAGGAAAGAAGGACUUCUGGGUUCCCACUGGAAUUAAUGCCUGCCUCAGACACGCUGUCUUGGGAGCUUUGGAGACAGGUUGCUUUAGAUCUUUGAAAUUUUAAGGGCCUUCUCAUCUGAACUGCUAGGAGACUUUCCAGGUUACCUUCAGAUGACAUAUACAGUAAAUCCCUUCAUCAGUCCUGUUGGUGCUUUUGAAACAGUGGGUGCCUAUCAGCAGUACAUGGAAAUGAGAUGGAUGCUGCUAAACCAGGCUACCUUCAUCCAAGUCAGUUUAUUAUUUAAAACAAUGUAUUACUGUAACACCAAAACGUUCUGGCCAGAUUUCAGCAUGACAUUGUUUGAGACACUGCGCAAGCACAGGACAGGAUAAUCCAUUGCUGUGAGGAGCCUACCCUUUAAUUUAAAGUUCACAUGUGGAUGGUACAGCUUUGAUGGGGUACUGGAAGUAUGUGACCAAGUGCGCGGUCUCAGAUGAACAUCCUUUUUCUUUUUGGUCUACAUUUCCGUUUGGUAUGUCUUUAUURGCUUGGCUGCCUUCCUCCUCUUUACAACUACCUUUUGAUCAAAGAAACAGAAGAGAGCUUUCUUCCUUCCCAGACACCGUGCARAAGUCCUAUGUGAAAUAGCCUCCUGUAGCCCACAAGUCUCUCAUAGUGAUAAUUCAGUCAGGUGACAAAUUCCAAUCUUGCCCUAUGGACCUUGUGCUGAUGCUGAUAAUCUCUUUGGGGAAUGACAGCAAGGAGACUGGAGGACUCUAAAUUUUAUUGGCAAGAUCCUGAGGGUCUGGCUAAGGUUUUUUGUAGAUUCCUCAGGGAAUCAGCCAAGCCUCUGUUAGUCUUCUGUUGAUACAGCUUGUGGCUUGAUCCUACGGAUAGGCUUGAGAAGCUCAGCUGUCCAUUUAGCCAAUUCAGUUAAAUGCAGGAUGGUGCUGACUGAAAGCUACGAUCAGCCAAAGGUGUCUCUUCCCCUAGAAGAAGAUUCUCUGUAUGUCAGCAACGAAGUGCAAAGGGGCACACUUGUGUUAGCACCACCCAGGCUGUCAACAAAGAACUUCUGUCCUUAGAGCUAUCAAAUGAAAUUCAUAUGAAUUUCUGACUCUUCCUAAACCACGUUCCUGCCAGGCAGAAGAGAUCACAAGAUUAAUCAGCAUUCUCUCCUUCGCCUUGUUGCAUCUCUACAAUUUUUAAGUACUGUGCCUAUCAUAAUGCUCCCAGGAGGUUUCCUUAACCACAACAUCUCAUCUCUGCAAACAGCUGCUUCCUUUUUGCACAAGAGUUCUUGGAGGCUUGCUUCACUUAUCAAAACUAAGCCACUGAAAAGCUGGGAAAUAACUAAGUUCUACUGGGAGAUGAAAUCCCAGCGCAGAUGGACAGAUUUGCUUAACCUAUAAAAUAAUUCUGGAAUAACUAUUGUCUUGGCAAAAUUCAAAAAUGUAACAAAGUUUGAUUGUUCUUGGCUUCUCCUGAUUUGCUUACUUUGGGGUUAUUUUUUGACCCUCAAGAUGCACAUGUUAUUCCCAUUACUGUUAACAGGAGUUAUAUAUACACACACAUGUCUAAGRGAGCCUUGACCAUUUACUUUUAGUGUUCCAAGGUCAGCUGAAGUCUGGACCUUUUACUUUCUCUAUGCUCCACUAAUUGAGAAAAAAAGCUUAUGCAAGACUUCCUUGGGGAACAUGGAGUCUGCGAUUUUUACAGCCCAUGAGGCUAAAAUUCAAAUAUGAACCACAGCUGUUUGGACGGGAGUCCUGGACCUCUUCAUUUUGAACUAUAGUGACCUGUUCAAUCUCACCAACACAGGAAGCUCCAAGAUCCCGGCGUAGCUAUUGCCUGGGAUGGGAGAUUUGCCUGCCAGGCAUAUCUGGGUAUAGUAAGCAAUUUAUAGUUCUCUGGGAUUUGCAGGUGGAAAGGCUGUUUACACAUAUACACACACACACAUAUGCAUUUAUAUACACAUCACAUUUUUGUGUGUCUGUACAUAUAUAUAUGUACAUAUAUAUGUGUGUGUGUGUCUAUACAUAUAUCAAGCUUUUAAUAUAUAUUCACCAUUCUAACAAGCUGACCAAAUGUUCUUGUUGAAGAUGAUGAAGUUCUUUCUUGCUAGGUACAGGUAUUUCUGUGAGUCCUGCUGGUAAGAGGUAAAAUAAGAAGAAAAACAGAGUGUAGAAUAAACUUCUCUUUUGAUUUAAGUAGUGAUAGACC
ensembl:lncRNA